rnacentral:rRNA from 1 species
CACGCCCUAAACGAUGCGAACUGGACGUUGGGAGCAACUUGGCUCUCAGUGUCGAAGCUAACGCGUUAAGUUCGCCGCCUGGGGAGUACGGUCGCAAGACUGAAACCCAAAGGAAUUGACGGGGGCCCGCACAAGCGGUGGAGUAUGUGGUUUAAUUCGAUGCAACGCGCAGAACCUUACCUGGUCUUGACAUGUCGCGAACUGCCCAGAGAUGGGCGGGUGCCUUCGGGAAUGCGAACACAGGUGCUGCAUGGCUGUCGUCAGCUCGUGUCGUGAGAUGUUGGGUUAAGUCCCGCAACGAGCGCAACCCUUGUCCUUAGUUGCCAGCACGUAAUGGUGGGAACUCUAAGGAGACUGCCGGUGACGAACCGGAGGAAGGUG